rnacentral:rRNA from 1 species
GAGUUUGAUCAUGGCUCAGAUUGAACGCUGGCGGCAGGCCUAACACAUGCAAGUCGAGCGGUAGAGAGGAGCUUGCUUCUCUUGAGAGCGGCGGACGGGUGAGUAAUGCCUAGGAAUCUGCCUAGUGGUGGGGGAUAACGUUCGGAAACGGACGCUAAUACCGCAUACGUCCUACGGGAGAAAGCGGGGGAUCUUCGGACCUCGCGCCAUUAGAUGAGCCUAGGUCGGAUUAGCUAGUUGGUGAGGUAAUGGCUCACCAAGGCGACGAUCCGUAACUGGUCUGAGAGGAUGAUCAGUCACACUGGAACUGAGACACGGUCCAGACUCCUACGGGAGGCAGCAGUGGGGAAUAUUGGACAAUGGGCGAAAGCCUGAUCCAGCCAUGCCGCGUGUGUGAAGAAGGUCUUCGGAUUGUAAAGCACUUUAAGUUGGGAGGAAGGGUCGUAACCUAAUACGUUACGGCUUUGACGUUACCGACAGAAUAAGCACCGGCUAACUUCGUGCCAGCAGCCGCGGUAAUACGAAGGGUGCAAGCGUUAAUCGGAAUUACUGGGCGUAAAGCGCGCGUAGGUGGUUCAGCAAGUUGGAUGUGAAAGCCCUGGGCUCAACCUGGGAACUGCAUCCAAAACUACUGAGCUAGAGUACGGUAGAGGGUAGUGGAAUUUCCUGUGUAGCGGUGAAAUGCGUAGAUAUAGGAAGGAACACCAGUGGCGAAGGCGACUACCUGGACUGAUACUGACACUGAGGUGCGAAAGCGUGGGGAGCAAACAGGAUUAGAUACCCUGGUAGUCCACGCCGUAAACGAUGUCGACUAGCCGUUGGGAUCCUUG